UACGGAGGGUGCAAGCGUUAGUCGGAAUUACUGGGCGUAAAGGGCGCGUAGGCGGGAAUGUAAGUCAGACGUGAAAUUCCGAAGCUCAACUUCGGAGCGGCAUCUGAAACUGCAUUUCUAGAGGAAAAGCGGAGAAAACGGAAUUCCAUGUGUAGCGGUGAAAUGCGUAGAUAUAUGGAAGAACACCUGUGGCGAAAGCGGUUUUCUAGCUUACUCCUGACGCUGAGGCGCGAAAGCAAGGGGAGCAAACAGG
rnacentral:rRNA from 1 species